CCUACGGGAGGCAGCAGUGAGGAAUAUUGGUCAAUGGCCGGAAGGCUGAACCAGCCAUGCCGCGUGAAGGUCAGUGCCCUAUGGGCGUUAAACUUCUUUUGUGCGGGAGCAAUAAUGGUCACGUGUGGCCAGACGAGAGUACCGUACGAAUAAGCAUCGGCUAACUCCGUGCCAGCAGCCGCGGUAAUACGGGGGAUGCAAGCGUUAUCCGGAUUUAUUGGGUUUAAAGGGUGCGUAGGCUGUGCGGUAAGUCAGCGGUGAAAUGCCCCCGCUCAACGGGGUGAAGUGCCAUUGAUACUGCCUGGCUGGAAUGCGGAUGCGGUGGGAGGAAUGUGUGGUGUAGCGGUGAAAUGCAUAGAUAUCACACAGAACACCGAUUGCGAAGGCAUCUCACGAAUCCGCGAUUGACGCUGAUGCACGAAAGCGUGGGUAUCAAACAGGAUUAGAUACCCCGGUAGUC
rnacentral:rRNA from 1 species